UCUGUGACUGUUUCGCGUCCUGCUGCUGCUGCUGCUGGAUCCGAAUGCCGAGGCUACAAAGGCUUGUUACUGUCUCAUGCUGGGUCCCUCAAAUCCAAGAGCUACUUGGCAGUUUCCAAGGCAACCACCUGUGGAAUAAUUAAAAAGGAUGAAGUGUUAGCGUGCCAGAUAUAAGGAAUUCUUGCCUGGAGAGAGCGUUUCACUUUCUUCCGUCUUGAAGAAUCAAACGUGCUUCUGCCAGCAAAGUUAAGAAAAAGAAACGGUGGCUGAGUUGCACAAGUGAACCAGGACAACACAAAAUGUGACUCAAAGCAGGAGCGAGCAGAUGGCCACGUCGUUAGCUGGUGGCCACAGCCUUCCCAGAUGAGUUUUGGAAUUUCCACCAAAGUCGGGAUUAGGCUCAGGAUAUGCCAGUGGCACAGAGCACCCCAGGGGAGCGUGGAAGAAGAGGAAACCAUUCAUAGCGACUCAUCUCGUGGUUGGGUGAGUCAGGGGUCUGCUGUUGGUGGUCACAAAGGCACGUGGCUGACGACACCGCCUUUGUGUGCUCUGCAGGAUGCAGACUGUCUCCAAAAAUUAAUCCUCCCCGCUUGAUUUGUCCAGUGAAUUAUUUCCAGAAAGGAGUUACUGUAUUUUCUGGAAUGACUAUUGUGAAAUUCUUUCUCUCUGUCUCUUUUUUUUUUCCUUUUUUUUUUUUUUUUUUUAAAUACAGUGGGCAAGUUUUCAGCUGGUGAUUUAUCAACAAAGUAUUUUACAGGAUCAUAGUUAAAGUCUGAUCUUAAAAAAAAAUUACACCCUGUGCAAUAGGGAAAGUAAAAGCAUCUUGGUUUCCAAGUGAUGAAGGAAUAACCGAAAGAGCUGGUUCUUGGAAUAGUAGCUCCAUUGGCACUCGUUGGUGAUUUCCUGUGCAUUUGCUGCAAGAAUCGCUCUGUGAUGUGAGUAGGUGGAACUAAAGGGUUAUUACGAAACCAAUUUUCAACCAGACGUUUUGAGUCAUGGAUGGGGAAGAGGGAUAGCAGCUCCAGAGCUCUCUCUUUGUUCAGGCACCACUCCUGAAAUGCACACCCGGGAUAUUCUGUGCCUGCACGGAGCGAGGCACCAGGGGACAGGUGUGGGCUCACAUGAAGUGCUCUCCUUUGUGCCGCUCCAUCCCGGGCAUGGGAGAUGCGAGCGUGGGCUGCGAGCCGGCACAGCCUGUGCAAGGUGCACGAGGAGCAGUUUUCCCUGCUGCCUUUUCAAUUGUAAGUAUUUUCUCAUGGCUUUUCCCAGACGUGGGAGACAAAAUGGAGUUGCGUCAGGACGGGUGCCUGUGCCAAAACGAGGUGGUGGUUUGGAGUGGUUUGGUUCUGUUCUGGAAGCAGAUGGGCUGCCACUGGCAGGAGGCAGUUGGCUUCUCCAUCAGAAAAAAAAGAGAAAAGAGAAGAAGGGGUGUUUAAGGGAAUUGGUCUGGCUCCUAAACCGGAGGAAUUGUUGACCCACUGACUCAGUUCUGAAGCAUUAGGGAAGCAGUCUUCCUGUGGUUUCUUUUGUUGGUGGCAGAUUCAGAGCCUGGCUGUGAGCGUUCGGGUGUGAGCAGCAGAGGAGAGGCAGUUCUGGUACCUGCUGCUGUGGGAUUUACUUGGUGCCAGGGAGGAGCUGAGGUGCUGACGGCUGAGUAA